UGUCAGUACUGCUGGAAAAAUAAAUAAAUAAUAAGAAAUAAAAAUUUUAACGAGAAAAAAAAUUUAAAACACUGGGGACCCAGUGGGAAGCCAAAAUGUAGAAUGCAUUAAGGCUGACUGGUUUCUGGUAUUCAUCAAUCUUUUCUAUUAAAGUAAAAUAUCCAAACAUAUUAAAUUUGAAUUAUUCAUAAAUGUUAAGUGUCUGUGAACUUUGUCCUUUUUUCUGUACAUUCGAAUGAUUUUUACUUAUAAAAUAAUUGUAAUUGUAUUUUGUAAAUUGUUGCAAAAAGGCCUUGCUUUUUUUAAGGUGAAUAUUUUUGUUCAGGAACCAGGGAGGUCUGCAGCAAAUGAAAUAUGAAGUUUUUUUUUUUUUUUUUUUUUUUUUUAAACACAGUUGGUUGCCAGUUACUGCGUGAAUUUUCUGGCGCUGGGACAAUGACCUUCCCUGCAUCCACAGGAGCCCUCUGAGGGAGCUGGCCACUCUGCCUCCUAGUCACCGUGAGGCUUGUUAUUAAGCUACUGUGUAUGUCUGUACCUUUUGUAACAUGGACCUGCUGUCCACAAGGUCUUCAGCAUUGCUUACAAACUGGCACGUAAACAUAAUACAUGCAAAACUUGCAUCCUUUGCAGUUCCAGGAAGAGAGAGAAUGGAAAUGUCCAGAGAUCUGUUCUUGAUUUUGUGUUUUUAUCAUGGACUUUGUCUACUGAGUACUAUUUUAAACAAGUUUUGGUUUUUGUUUCAUUUUUGAACCUUGAUCUAGAGCUUGAUGAAUAGAUUCCUGUUCUCUUCACUAAGUCUUGACGUGGAGUGGAGUUGAUAACUGACAGUGGCGUCUACCUAUUUCUGUUGAGAUAAAAAACAGGGAACUUGGUGUGCUUUUGUUUUAAAGUGUUCAUAUGAAGGGGAAAUAUGUGCAAGAAUAAAUGAUUCGGGUGGGAAAGAAGUUGAGCUGUGAAUUCUCCUUUCUUCAUGAAACUUACAAAUUGUUUUCAUAUAGCAUUUUCCAUGAAAGUUUGGAAUAUUUAUGCCAAGAAUGAGCAAGUUGCUAAAACAGUCUCCCUUUUCAUGUCAUAAAAAAGUUGACAUCGUCUAACCAGUCCUUCAUUUGUCAGUGCCAUUAUAGCAAGGGUCCAUGUGGGUGACAAAAAGUGGAUGGUGUGCCCAGGAAACUGGGCAAGAUGGUCACAAGGCUCUUCUGAGCUGGUGCUAAGAGGUUCCUCAAGUCAACACACAAAUUUCAAUUUCAAGGACCAUAACUGUCCUAUAUAUUUUUUUCUUACUCUGUCUAUUAUUCAAAGCCAUCCCUGAUACAGUUUUUGUUGGGGAUGAGGUGAACUGUGUGACAGUGGGGAAAGGGAUGGAAUUGAAACAGCAUCAGUGCAAGCUUUGGGACAGUCUUUAAAAAAUGAUAAUACACCAUCCAAAUGAUUUACCAAUAGGUCUUCUAAAAAAAAAAGCAAAAUUAAUGUUUGUUUGUUAAUUAGUGUAUACUAAAGUUCAUUACAUUUACUUAAGUUUAUUUAAUUAAAUUAUCUAUUUGCUAAUUAUUUAUGAAAUUAUUACUAAUUACUAAAUAACUAAAUUAUUUAC
rnacentral:lncRNA from 1 species